GACGAACGCUGGCGGCGUGCCUAAUACAUGCAAGUCGAGCGAAGUUUUUCUGGUGCUUGCACUAGAACAACUUAGCGGCGAACGUGUGAGUAACACGUAAAGAACCUGCCUCAUAGACUGGGACAACUAUUGGAAACGAUAGCUAAUACCGGAUAACAGUAUUUCUCGCAUGGGAGAUACUUAAAAGUUGGUUAUGCUAACACUAUGAGAUGGCUUUGCGGUGCAUUAGCUAGUUGGUGGGGUAAAGGCCCACCAAGGCGACGAUGCAUAGCCGACCUGAGAGGGUGAUCGGCCACACUGGGACUGAGACACGGCCCAGACUCCUACGGGAGGCAGCAGUAGGGAAUCUUCCGCAAUGGGCGAAAGCCUGACGGAGCAACGCCGCGUGAGUGAAGAAGGAUUUCGGUUCGUAAAGCUCUGUUGUUAGGGAAGAAUGGAUAUGUAGUAACUAUACAUGUAAGAGACGGUACCUAACCAGAAAGCCACGGCUAACUACGUG
rnacentral:rRNA from 1 species